rnacentral:rRNA from 1 species
AUUGAACGCUGGCGGCGUGCCUAACACAUGCAAGUCGAACGAUUAAACCACCUCCGGGUGGAUAUAGAGUGGCGAACGGGUGAGUAACACGUGACCAACCUGCCUUCCGCAUCGGGAUAACCCGGGGAAACCCGUGCUAAUACCGAAUGACCCGCUCCCCCCGCAUGGGGGGAGCGGCAAAGCCCUGGCGGCGGAAGAUGGGGUCGCGGCCCAUUGGUAGUUGGCGGGGUAACGGCCCACCAAGCCCUCGAUGGGUAGCCGGGUUGAGGGACCGAACGGCCACAUUGGGACUGAGAUACGGCCCAGACUCCUACGGGAGGCAGCAGUGGGGAAUUUUGCGCAAUGGGGGAAACCCUGACGCAGCAACGCCGCGUGCGGGAUGAAGGCCUUCGGGUUGUAAACCGCUUUCAGCAGGGAAGAAGUUGACUGUACCUACAGAAGAAGCUCCGGCUAACUACGUGCCAGCCGCCGCCGUAA